CGAAAUAUCUCGUUACUACAGACUCGAAUAAUAAUCGCUCGAACCACCAUAUUUCGCUACGAAUGUUAAUCACAAGAAGAAAGUACAGGAAUUUCAUGUACAUUCGUCAAUGAACCAGAAUGGCGCGUGGUGGCUCUUGGUCCUGCUUAAUCCCCACCUUAGAUACAUUUAAUCGAUGGAAAACGUCCAACGUGUCUCGCACAAAUUGAUCCAUCAUGGCCUCGCUCACCCACCUUUAUAGGAAUGAUGUGCGAAGGUGACGGCUCUAACGGAAGACCAGCGGCAGUAAUAAUAGACUUCAUGUAGGCCACGUU